UACGAGGGGAGCAAGCGUUGUUCGGAUUUACUGGGCGUAAAGGGCGCGUAGGCGGUCGUGACAAGUCACUUGUGAAAUCUCCGGGCCUAACUCGGAACGGUCAAGUGAUACUGUCGGACUAGAGUACAGAAGGGGCAACUGGAAUUCUCGGUGUAGCGGUGAAAUGCGUAGAUAUCGAGAGGAACACCUGCGGCGAAGGCGGCUACCUGGACCGGUUCUGACGCUGAUGCGCGAAAGCGUGGGUAGCAAACAGG
rnacentral:rRNA from 1 species